rnacentral:lncRNA from 1 species
GCACCAAGAAGACCGUCGACAGCCGCAAUUCUUCCGGUAUCUUCUUUUCCUUCUAAAAUGUGUUCUUCAUGCCACUAUCAUGUCUCAGAGGGAUGCCUGCCGGCCAUCACCGGCCCAUGCCAAGUACUUCCACUCUUGGCAAAACGUUCAUCAUUUUUCUACUUUUCAGUUAAUUUAUGGGCAAUAGUUUUUGCUCAGCAUUCACCCAUGCCCACACAUAUCUCUCUAUAAGCUAUGUACAUUUUAUUGGAUCAUUUUUUCACAUUCAGUUCAGUUCAAUUAUCGCAACAGUUUACCAUUUAGUUCAGUUUUGGGUUUCAUCAAUUUCAGUUAUGAUUUCAGCCUUGUUUAAUUUAGUUGAUCAGCAUCCCAACAUCAGUCUUGUAGUUGAUUCACUUAUUUUAGUCUGUAGUUGCUACUCAUUUAAGCUUGGGAAAAAGAGCAUCACUGGGACCGAGUACGACACCGCAUCCGAUGGUCUGAUCUUCUUCAAGAAUGGAUGGAAGAAGUUUCUUACAAGGACAGGACUUGAGAUUGGAGCGGAUGUGUUAGUAACAUGCAAGACAAAGGUCGGCAAUGAGCUCGAGAUGAUCGUUCUUACUCUAUUGGUCUAUCAAUGUUUAUUAUUAUCAGUCAUUGUUCUUAUAGUUGACUCACCAGUCCAUGUUCAGAGAGCACACAUCACUAUUUUGUCUAUCAUUCAUGAGUUUUACACUUUUACUCAUCAUUUAGUCUUUCAGAUGAUAUUAUCUUCUUUGUUAUCUUCUCAAUUUCUUUUAUUUACUCCUUUUGGGCCAAGCAUGAGUUAAAUAAGCAGACAAUCCUUCAUUAUAUGUCUAUCUUCUUGCUCCCUUUAGUUUCUUCAGUUUCCUUUCUUCAGUUAUUUCAGUUUCUUUUCUCUGUUUUUUGUUCAGUGGCUUUUGUCAAUGGCACAAGUUUUACUUAUAAAGUUUGUUUUGUGAUAGGCAUGUAUUCUUAUUCCUGAGCGAUGAUUACAAAGAUUUUUU